rnacentral:rRNA from 1 species
UACGUAGGGUGCGAGCGUUAAUCGGAAUUACUGGGCGUAAAGCGUGCGCAGGCGGCUUUGCAAGACAGAGGUGAAAUCCCCGGGCUCAACCUGGGAACUGCCUUUGUGACUGCAAGGCUAGAGUACGGCAGAGGGGGAUGGAAUUCCGCGUGUAACAGUGAAAUGCGUAGAUAUGUGGAGGAACACCAAUGGCGAAGGCAAUACCCUGGGCCUGUACUGACGCUCAUGCACGAAAGCGUGGGGAGCAAACAGGAUUAGAAACCCCGGUAGUCC